GGAGAGGAAGUGGGAAGGCUCCAAUCUGUUCCUCACACCGGCGCCCUCAUGCCCCCACCCUUCUCCUCAGCUCGGGGCUUCGGCACGCCUCAUCCUCGCCCCUCGCCCCGGGAGAGGGGCGGGCGGCGCGGGAGAGCUCGCGGAGAAAGGCCGGGCAGAGCGGACGGCUUCCGCUCCACAGCAGGCGCCCCAAGCCGCCCGCCCACCGCCGAGCAAGGCCCGGGGGCAGCCCCGGAGACCGCGGCGGCCGGAUGCGCCUGUACGUCACUUCCGGGAGGUGCAGCGGCGGCCGCUUGGAAGAUGGCUGCGCCCUGUGGCUCGGAGCUGCCCGCCAACUCGCCGCUAAAAAUCCCGAAGAUGGAGGUGCUCUCCCCGGCUUCUCCUGGUGGCCUGAGCGACGGAAAUCCGUCGCUGUCCGACCCUUCCACGCCUCGGGGUGCCUCCCCGCUCGGGCCAGGCAGUGCGGCGGGCUCAGGGGCAGCGGCGUCCGGGGGUCUCGGGCUGGGGCUGGGGGGCCGCAGCGCCGCCUCGUCCUCUGUCUCCUUCUCCCCUGGUGGCGGCGGUGGCGGGGCUGCAGCAGCCGCUGCCGCCGCCUGCCGGGGCAUGUCGUGGACGCCGGCCGAGACGAACGCGCUCAUCGCAGUGUGGGGCAACGAGCGGCUGGUGGAGGCGCGGUACCAGCAGCUGGAGGGAGCCGGCACGGUGUUCGGCAGCAAGGCCCCCGGGCCGGCCAUGUACGAGCGCGUGUCCCGGGCCCUGGCCGAGCUGGGCUACGAGCGGACCCCAUCCCAGUGCCGGGAGCGCAUCAAGCUGGUUCGAUGCCCAGAACUGAAUGCUGUGCUCCAGCUGUGGCCUCACCGGUGCUGAAUAGAGAGGAAGAGCCACCUUCAUAGCUUACAUACCCUUCGCAGGUGUUACAGUCGGGUGAAAGAACAUGGUGUUGGGAAAAGAAAGAGCAGUUACACAUUUGAACAGUUGGAACAGGUGUUUGGUCAGGGAGGAUGGGAUGCUCAGCCCUGCCAGCCUGUACUUAUUAACAGUAGUGGCUUGUACCAGGAGCUGGAGUCAGAUGGCAGCACUAUGGAGGAGUAUUCACAGGAGGACUGGGGAAACCACAGUCAGGAGCUCCAUGGCUAUCCAACAGAUCAGGAAUUGGAUGAUAUACCUGUCACAAAGAGAACAUUAAAAAUAAAACAAGAAUCUUCUGAAGAAGCACAGAAGAGAGACAUCAUGCAGAAUAUUGUACAGAUUUUGGAAUCAGUACAGUUGAAAUGGGAACUGUUUCAGAGCUGGACAGACUUUUCAAGGCUUCAUCUUUCUAAUAAACUGGCCAUUUUUGGAAUUGGUUAUAACACCCGUUGGAAAGAAGAUAUCCGUUACCAUUAUGCUGAGAUCAGCUCCCAGGUGCCCCUUGGCAAGCGACUCCGGGAAUACUUCAACUCCGAGAAGCCUGAGGGACGGAUCAUUAUGACCCGAGUGCAGAAAAUGAACUGGAAAAAUGUUUACUACAAAUAUUUAGAGAUCACUAUUAGUGAAGCUAGGUGCCUGGAGCUGCACAUGGAAAUUGACUGGAUACCUAUCGCCCACUCCAAACCAACUGGUGGGAACGUUGUUCAAUAUUUAUUGCCAGGAGGCAUUCCCAAAAGCCCAGGCCUUUAUGCCAUUGGCUAUGAAGAAUGUAUUGAGAGGCCCCCCUCACCCCACAUGGAGCGACGUACCCUGGACCCAGGAAAGGAGGGCCGGGUUGACUUGGAAACCCUUUCAGCACAAGCUUCAUUACAGGUGGAAAUAGAACCCACUCGAAUUAUCUAUUGCUACCUCGGGAUUGCUGAGGUCAGGACUCUGCAGCAAUGCUUAUUUUUACAUUUCCAAGCAAAUACCAAAACCUUCAGCAAAGAUUGGGUUGGUAUUAAUGGGUUUUUGUCUCAGAACUGUAUUGUGGAUCCUGGAAUUUCCCCUAAAUCCAUCUAUAUCAAAUUUGUAGAAGUAGAGAGGGAUUUUCUUUCCGCUGGCUCUUUGGUUGAAUGCCUGGAAAAAGCCAUUGGAUACCCCUUAAAAUUUAACAACUGAAUGUCAUCCUUCAUAAGGAUUUGGGCUCUUACCUCUCUCUUCUCUACUCACUUCCCAUUACCCAGACUGUCCUUCAUCCAGAUGCUGCCAUCAGACUCUUCAUGGAAACUCUCCACGAUCAGGCCAGUACAACUUCUAAGGAAUCAUAGUAGACUCUGGGCAGAAAAAACAGACCUCACCUGAAAAUGCUCAUUUUGAGCAAGCAAGAUAUACAAUGAACUUGCAUGGUGGGUCAGCUCUUUCUUUUUUAAAAACAAAAAACAAUUUUUAAAUGGAUUUUAGAGCCCUAAUAUAAACAAAUGUAGGUACAUUCCAUAUUGGACAAAACUUAUACUUUGAGUUUCAUAUGAAAUUGAAGAAUUGUAUUUUUUUCACAAUGUUUCAUUUUUACACAUCUCUAUGUCUCUUUAUGAGUAUUAUUUACAACGCUGAAUAAAUAAGCAAUAGAUAACGGCAAGUUAAAUCUUGAGUCACAGUAAAUAAGACUGUUUUUCAAUAUCACCCUUAGCUACUAUUGUAUAUAAUUUAGUUUCAUUUUUUUCACCAACCAAGUGUUUUGCUAUUCCCAAUCAGUGUUGCCUGCAAAGACCUUUGUUUCUGUGAUGUACCAACUUUAUGGUUGUGUUGCCAUUUAAACUUUAAAAAAAAAAAAAAAAUUAAAGGAAUUCCUGGCC